GAUGAACGCUAGCUACAGGCUUAACACAUGCAAGUCGAGGGGCAUCAGGAAGAAAGCUUGCUUUCUUUGCUGGCGACCGGCGCACGGGUGAGUAACACGUAUCCAACCUGCCCUUUACUCGGGGAUAGCCUUUCGAAAGAAAGAUUAAUACCCGAUAGCAUAAUGAUUCCGCAUGGUUUCAUUAUUAAAGGAUUCCGGUAAAGGAUGGGGAUGCGUUCCAUUAGGUUGUUGGUGAGGUAACGGCUCACCAAGCCUUCGAUGGAUAGGGGUUCUGAGAGGAAGGUCCCCCACAUUGGAACUGAGACACGGUCCAAACUCCUACGGGAGGCAGCAGUGAGGAAUAUUGGUCAAUGGGCGCUAGCCUGAACCAGCCAAGUAGCGUGAAGGAUGAAGGCUCUAUGGGUCGUAAACUUCUUUUAUAUAAGAAUAAAGUGCAGUAUGUAUACUGUUUUGUAUGUAUUAUAUGAAUAAGGAUCGGCUAACUCCGUGCCAGCAGCCGCGGUAAUACGGAGGAUCCGAGCGUUAUCCGGAUUUAUUGGGUUUAAAGGGAGCGUAGGUGGACUGGUAAGUCAGUUGUGAAAGUUUGCGGCUCAACCGUAAAAUUGCAGUUGAUACUGUCAGUCUUGAGUACAGUAGAGGUGGGCGGAAUUCGUGGUGUAGCGGUGAAAUGCUUAGAUAUCACGAAGAACUCCGAUUGCGAAGGCAGCUCACUGGACUGCAACUGACACUGAUGCUCGAAAGUGUGGGUAUCAAACAGGAUUAGAUACCCUGGUAGUCCACACAGUAAACGAUGAAUACUCGCUGUUUGCGAUAUACAGUAAGCGGCCAAGCGAAAGCAUUAAGUAUUCCACCUGGGGAGUACGCCGGCAACGGUGAAACUCAAAGGAAUUGACGGGGGCCCGCACAAGCGGAGGAACAUGUGGUUUAAUUCGAUGAUACGCGAGGAACCUUACCCGGGCUUAAAUUGCAGUGGAAUGAUGUGGAAACAUGUCAGUGAGCAAUCACCGCUGUGAAGGUGCUGCAUGGUUGUCGUCAGCUCGUGCCGUGAGGUGUCGGCUUAAGUGCCAUAACGAGCGCAACCCUUAUCUUUAGUUACUAACAGGUUAUGCUGAGGACUCUAGAGAGACUGCCGUCGUAAGAUGUGAGGAAGGUGGGGAUGACGUCAAAUCAGCACGGCCCUUACGUCCGGGGCUACACACGUGUUACAAUGGGGGGUACAGAAGGCAGCUAGCGGGUGACCGUAUGCUAAUCCCAAAAUCCUCUCUCAGUUCGGAUCGAAGUCUGCAACCCGACUUCGUGAAGCUGGAUUCGCUAGUAAUCGCGCAUCAGCCACGGCGCGGUGAAUACGUUCCCGGGCCU
rnacentral:rRNA from 1 species